rnacentral:tRNA from 18 species
CUUUCUGCGUGGGUUCGAUUCCCACCCUCUU